UACGGGGGGGGCAAGCGUUGUUCGGAAUUACUGGGCGUAAAGGGCUCGUAGGCGGCCAACUAAGUCGGACGUGAAAUCCCCAGGCUCAACCUGGGAACUGCGUCUGAUACUGGAUGGCUUGAAUCCGGGAGAGGGAUGCAGAAUUCCAGGUGUAGCGGUGAAAUGCGCAGAUAUCAGGAGGAACACCGGUGGCGAAGGCGGAUCUCUGGGCCUUACCUGACGCUCAGGCGCGAAAGCUAGGGGAGCGAACAGG
rnacentral:rRNA from 1 species